rnacentral:rRNA from 1 species
UACAGAGGUCUCAAGCGUUGUUCGGAUUCAUUGGGCGUAAAGAGCUCGUAGGCGGUUCGGCAAGUCGGAUGUGAAAUCUCCACGCUUAACGUGGAGGGGCCAUUCGAAACUGCCGUGACUCGAGUCCGGUAGGGGAGUGGCGGAAUUCCCGGUGUAGCGGUGAAAUGCGCAGAUAUCUGGAGGAACACCGGUGGCGAAGGCGGCAUCCUGGACCAAUAGUUGACGCUGAGGAG